UAUUUUUAAGCGUUGGUUAUUCUUAGUUGCCAAUCUUCUAUCUUCUGUUAGCUAGCAGAAGAUACUCUACACAUUUUGGAUUAGACUCACCAAACAUUCUCUUAUGCACUCGAUUCGCGAAAUUUUCCAGAAAUCUUCAUAGUUGAAGGUGAUUCAGCAGGUGGUAGUGCAAAGCAAGGUCGUGAUAGGAGAUUUCAGGCUAUUUUGCCCUUGAGGGGUAAGAUUCUGAACAUUGAAAGAAAGGACGAAGCAGCCAUGUAUAAAAAUGAAGAAAUUCAAAAUCUGAUUCUUGCUCUUGGACUUGGAGUGAAGGGGGAGGAUUUUAAGAAAGAAGCCCUUCGGUAUCACAAGAUCAUCAUUUUGACAGAUGCUGAUGUAGAUGGAGCCCACAUUCGAACUCUCCUGCUGACAUUUUUCUUUAGAUAUCAGGUGGCUCAUGGGUGCUGCAGUUCUCUCAGAAACCAGUA